rnacentral:rRNA from 1 species
GACGUAGGGUCCGAGCGUUGUCCGGAGUUACUGGGCGUAAAGGGCGCGUAGGCGGCAUGCCAAGCGUGUGGUGAAAGCCCGGGGCUCAACCCCGGGUCGGCCGUGCGGACUGGCGUGCUCGAGCACUGUAGGGGCGGGUGGAAUUCCGGGUGUAGCGGUGGAAUGCGUAGAGAUCCGGAAGAACACCGGUGGCGAGGGCGGCCCGCUGGGCAGGAAGGCUCGCAAGAGCCGGCUGACGCUGAGGCGCGACAGCGUGGGGAGCAAACAGG